AAACAAGCAAUUUAAUUUAAACGCCCACACUUAUCGGUUGUUGGAAGAAGUCGAAGUCUUCAUUGAUUCUCGAUUGGGUCUGUAGCUCAGCUGGUUAGAGCACCGUCUUGAUAAGGCGGGGGUCGUUGGUUCGAGCCCANCUAGACCCACCAAAUCUUCUGAUUUCUCGUGUGAGAGUUUUGGGGGAUUAGCUCAGCUGGGAGAGCACCUGCUUUGCAAGCAGGGGGUCGUCGGUUCGAUCCCGUCAUCCUCCACCAAUAAUGCGAUACUUAAAUUCAACACCAAAGCGGCUUCCUGCUCAGGCAUGAGGCUUCUUUGUUGUUGAUCGAGAUCUCUUGAUCAAUCGGCUGUUCUUUAAAAAUUCAUAGAGUCGAAUCAGCGUUGCUGAUGGAAACUGCACAUUCGUAAAGGUUUAGUGCUGACCGUGCCAUCAGCAACAUAGAAUUUUUGAUUGCGUCAAAAGAAACUUCAAUUUCGAGUCAAAUCGAAUUGAAUGUACGGCAUAACGCGUCAGGUGAAAGACCUGACAUAUUCCUUGUGAUGAUUUUGUAGUUUCGAAAGAAACGUCAAAGUUAUAGGGUCAAGUGAAUAAGAGCACGUGGUGGAUGCCUUGGCGAUGAUAGGCGACGAAGGACGUGAUAGCCUGCGAUAAGCUUCGGGGAGCUGGCAAAUUAGCUUGAUCCGGAGAU
rnacentral:misc_RNA from 1 species